UUGCGUGAGGAGCGCGGUCGUCCUUCCCUCCACCAGGCCUGCGGCGCAUUUAUGGCGAGGCCGACGUGGGGACCCACAGGAUCUUGUCUGUCUCACCCAUCUGGACCGUAUCCGAGGGGGAUGCCUGCUCCGGGGGCCCCAGCGCGCCCGACCCCUUUGCUUGGGGUCGGACGAGGCGGAACUUCGUGACGGGGGUCAGGCGCCCCCGACCCCGGGGCCGCAGUCGGGCGAGGCGGAAACUUUGGAGAGGGGGGUCGGCCGUUCCCGAUCCCCACGCCGUGGUCGGGUGAGGUAGAGCUUUGAUCAUGUCUAGGUGGGCCCGGGCCUUCGUAUCUGUUUCCUUAAGUGGCAUAUUUAGGGGAUCGUUAAUAUUUCCCCCCAACAGUAGCCCCCGAGCCUGUGGUGGAGCAGAAGUGCUCCUCCGGAGGCUUCUUUCACUGUUUCGCCGCGGGCUUUGUGUUAUGGCGCGCUUGUUUUAUUUCAGCCUGGCUGGGGAACCUGCAAAUUGUGACCACACGCGUGGUAGUUGGUUGCGAAACUGGCCCCCGAGCUCCUGCUCGUUGCUGGAAACCGAUCGGGAGGCUAGGUCGACUUUUUGAUCGUUGUCCCUCAAGCAUCCGUUCACUAGGACGGAGGGUUUGAGCCGGGCCACGUUAUCCGCGUUGGACGAACCGUGGUGCUCGUUUGAGCUGCAAACGGGUAGGUUCGAGUGGAGUCCCGGUCCCCGUUCGGGGGGGUCCGGCUCGGGCCAAGCUGGUGGCGCACUCCAAUUUCCCACCGGCCAGUUCAUAUAGUUCCCGGAUCCGUUCGACCGGAUCUGGGGGCUCGUUGCCUUUCCCCGUGGAAAAACCAUGAAUUUUAUACCGGGCGGGACUCGAACGUGAGGUUGGGGCGCCCUUGGCUUUCGCUUGCCUGGGUAUUGGCCGCUAGCAGACCCGUCCCUUCUCACCCCUCACUCGGGGGACGUCCUGAGGCAGCUGUCGAACCUGUGUUGGGCCAGCUUUCGAACCUCUGGACCGUAAUGGGCCGUAGGGGCGUUUUCAGCCCCGUAUCCCUUUCUUACCUCCCUGCGGGCCUUGGGCCGGAGUGGAGCGGUCGUUGCGCCUGGGCCGAACGUGGGGGGCGUCGUGGGCGCGCUACCCGGGAAGUGGAGUUAUGGGGAGCGUCGUCCCGCGAAUCGAGGAGGAUAGGAUGUUUUCGCGGCCGAUCGUGCGCGUGGUUUUCGAAAAGGAAAUGGGCGUGGCAGGGGCGUACCUGGCGCUACAUUUAUGGCGGCCGGGGCGUCGAUUUGGCUUCCCCGGUACCUUUCUUAUAAAAGCAGGAGCUCACCGCGCCGGUUCCGCUUUCCUUCCGCAUUCGAGCCUUCUUGCCUUCCAGCCUCACGCUCAGUUCAUCCGCGCUCGCCUCGUUUCCUUCGCUCCAAGCCGCGCGCUCUUCUUCCCGUCACCGUCGAUCUCCUCCCUCCUCUGGCGAUGGGUUCCUGGGGGGGUUCUCAUUUCACCUCCUCGCGCACUGAGGGCCUGGUGCGGAAGGGUCUCCUCUGCGAGAGGACGGCGGCGGGCGAGUGGGAGCUGCCGGGGACGGAGCAAGUUCCGUCGCCUCCCCCCGGCUACGUCGUCUCCUUCGCUCACUUCCAUGAGUGGGGGUUCGCUUCCCCCCCGAGCCGCUUCUUGCGCGGGCUCCUCCACCAUUAUGGGCUCGAGCUCCAGCACCUCAACCCCAACGGGAUCCAGCACAUUGCGGCGUUCGUCGCGUUGUGCAAAGGAUUGCUGGGCAUCGAGCCCCACUUCUCGCUGUGGAAAUAUUUUUUCACAGUGAGCUUGUACCAGAAGUCAGGAAAAGCCGGGAGCCAGCAGCGGUCGCCUCCAGUGCUGAUUGGGUGCGCCGGGAUCCAUCUCCAUCAUACUCGCUCCAAGGAGUACAUGACGGUGAAGACCUCGGUGUCCCACAAGGGGUGGCACAACCAGUGGUUCUACGUGAAGAGCUACCCGGACUCCCCUUUGCCGGCUUUCACCGGUCGCACCAUCGACGCGGCGCUAGAGGUAUGGGCGUACGGGCCGGUGGAGAAGGAGAAGAAGCGGUUCUCCGACCUGCUGCAGGGCAUCGAGCAGCUGAAGAGGAAUGGGCUCACCGGCGCCGGGGUCUUCGGAGCAUACCACGCCCGGCGGGUGGCGCCGCUGAUGCUCCAGGUCCGGCCGCUUGGCGCCAUGACCCCUGACGCGCUGACCGAGGGCACCGCCUUGGCGACAGGCGCACUUGCCGCCUCCGAGAUCCGGCAACGGCUUCGGGAGGCGCUGGAGGACAGGGACGUCGAGUACCCGGUUCCCGGGCACCCGCCGAUGCGCUCGGAGGCGGGCUUCAUAGACCUGGUAAUGAAUUGGGGCGUCGUCUUCCUUUCUCUGUGCCCCGCUAUUUGUUGCCCUGACGCGGAGCUGCUUUGCGUUUGCAGGGCUUACUAACCCGGGUUGCGGACUCCCUUUUGCCGGUGCCGGAAGAUGGUGAACGGAGAGCUCGCAAUCGUCUCCAAGCCGAGGCGCAGAAGCACCGCAAGGACAAGGAGACGGCGAGGAAGCGGAAGAAGGCCGCCAAGGAGCUCCAGCGGCGGCGGAGGGGGUCGGUUGUGUCCGACGACGACGACGACGAUGAAGAUGAAGAGGAUGAAGAUGAGGAAGAUGAUGAGGAGGAAGAGCUGGUUCCCCCCCGAUCGGGGGCCUUGGUGAUUCGUGAGGCGCCCCCACAGACGGCCGCGGGAGGUGAAGCGGGGGAGGCGUCCACCCGGGCUUCGGCUCCUCCAGGCCCUGGGGCCGUGCCUCAGGGGCCAGCACAGCGCGUGCCCCAAGAGCUGGCGCGGGCCGCCCCCCAGGGGUCAGCGCAGGACAUCCCCAGGAGCAGGUGCAGGACGCCUCCCAGGGGUCGGCGCAAGGCGUCCCCCAGGAUCGGGCGCGGGACGCUGCCCCGGGUCGGCAAGGGGUGCCCCCCUGGUGUUGACACGGGGCGCCCCUUAGGGGUCUUCGGAGCGUGCCCCCGCCGCGGCUUUGGGUCCGGCGCGGGGCGCUCCCCAGGAGUCCAUUCGGGGCGCUUCUCGGGGGUCCGUGGAGCCCGCCUCCACCGCCGUGCCCGCUGCCGGAGAGCAGCGAAGCGACGACAAGCGGCCGUUGCCGGGUGCCCCGGGGUCGGCGUCCGGCUCCGAGUCGAAGCGUGCACGCCGCCCUUGCACUUCGAGGAUGUAAGUUGGCCUUCCCUGGGUGUCGUUCCUCUCCUCUUUUUUCGUUCGUUUCAGCUGACGUCUGGCCGUUGAUGUGCAGCACUACUCCCCGUGGCCUCAGCCUGCAGCUGGCGCCCAAGAAGGCGCUGCGGUUGUCGGCCUCCUCCGGGGGGCGGGCCGCAGCCCCGCCUGCGGCAAGCGGUGGGGUUCCUGGUGCGGUCGCGGAUCCCCCCACGGAGGUGGCCCCUGUGACGGCGGCUGGCGGAGCGACAGCGGUGUCAGCCGCGGGAGGGGGAGCGGACUCUACUCCGCCUUCGGUUCCUCCGGUCGCCCCUUCAGCUCAGGGCUCGAUCCUCUCGAGCUCUCAGGUCGGGGAGGUGAUCGACCUCUACGCCGACGAGGCAGAGGAGGCGGCGGCGACGGGAGGUAGGGUGGAUGCCCCCGCAGCCGUGGCGGGAUCAGAGGCGGAGGGAGCGCCUGCUCCCGGAGGCACGGCGGCGGCUGAGGCAGUGGUGACGGAGGCAGGGGCCUCCACCCCGAUCGCCCCCGCGGGAGUGGCUCCGGCGGCUGAGGUGGAGGUGCCCACUGGGAUACCGUUGGCGGCCUUGGCGGCGACGAGCGUGCAGGUGCCGGGGCCGUCGGUAGAUCCGGCGGCCUCUAGUGCCAUGGUGCCGACCUCGACGGCAGCGUUAGGGUCGGCCCCUGUCUCAGCCUCGGCUUCCUCCGUUCCCAGGGCGUGGAGAGGGUCCGUCCUCCGCUGGUCAUCCCGCGAUGACCCGCCGAGGCAUCUCUUCGCGCUGGACGCCGCCGCCGAGUGGCACAAGUGGCAGGCGGUGCAGGGCGGCAUUACCCAGGUCCAGGCGGCUCUGUCCUCGGUGCUGGGAGUUCUGGGCAACACCGUCCUCCUCGGCAGCCAGGUAUGUUGCUCCUACUGUUGGUGAUGAGUACCUCCCUUCUGCCUUUUGCCUUAACGGCGUGUUGCUUUGCAGGCUCUCCAAGAGGGCAGUCGGGGGAAAUCCGAUUUCCUCCGACGGCAGCAGGGUCUCUGGGAUUGCUUCAAUACCGAAAGGGAGCGCACCAGGGACCUGUCCUUGCAACUCGGCGCCACCCAGGGGGUCAUUCGCGACCUGCAAGGGCGUGAGCAGGCGGCGUCGGAGGAGGCGCAGCGUGCGGGGGCCAGGCUCCAAGCCGUCACCGAGAAGGCCCGCCUCGACCUCGAGGAGUUCCAGGCUGUCGCCGAAAGGGCCCGCCGUGAUGCCGAGGGGCUUCAAGCUGCUGCUGAGAGGGCCCGCCGCGACGCCGAGGAGCUUGCGCAGCUGAGGGGGAUGCGUGACACCCUCCGCACGGAGACUGGCCAACUUCGCUCGCAGGUGCAGGGACUUCAAUCCGCCGUGUCCCGAGGGGCCGAACGGGAGCGUGAGUUGAAGACCCAGGCUGAUGGUGAGGUUUCUUCCGUUCCCGCAUUCCCGUGUUGUUUAUGUUCUAUUCUUUGACUUGGUGGGAUUUUCUAGGUGGUUUCUGCAGGUGAAAUCGCCAAGUUGCGGGGUCUGCUCGACGAGGAGCGCGUUGAGCACAGCGCCCUGCGAGAUGUGGCCCGUGUCGUCUGCGACGACUUUGGCGUAGCUCCGGAGGAGGGGUCGAGCUCUCUGCUGGCUCGUGUCCUCAGGGUACGCCGUCGCCGUCGCGAGAUCGCCGUGGACGCGCUUCACCUUGGCGUGCGGCGAGCCUUCGGGGUCUUCGGCUCUCACUAUUCUGGCAUCAACUUUGCCGGGAUGAGUGAAGGGUACGCCGCGGGCUACACCGAAGCUGAGCUGGACGAGAUCGAUGCCACGGUGACCGCGCCGGCGGAGGCCCUCGCGAAGCUCCUGGAGGAUGAGGCCGCCCCUCUUGCCGACCCCUCGUCAAGUUAGCUGUGCCGGGCUUGCGCCCCAAAAAAGUUUGUAAUUAUGUCAGUCUUUGAACUCGUUUUGCGUUGGCCAUACGGGCCUGUUCUAUGACUUUUGUUGUGUGAAAAAACCCGAUUCCCUUUGUUGUUUCUUUGGGCUCGAAAGCUUAGAAUGCAUUGCCGGGUGCGUCAGUAAGUUUUGAUGAGCGAAGGUGCCGUAGCCGCUGGGGCGUAGGUUUUUUCGCGGUCCGAUCAAAACUUGCCUGAGCACCGUUCGCGCAUCCUUCUCUUUUUGCGUCCAAAGGUCUAGAAAGGGAGUGUUCGGUUUGAAAAAGAAAAAACGUUUUCUUUUUAGAUGGCGCCAGGCGGCUGGGGUCGGGACCCCUGAUAGCCCCCGAGGGGUAUGCGGUCCUGGAGCAAGGACAGGGUCGGAUACCCCUGAGCUUAAAGGAAAAGGCUUGAGCCGAGGUGGCUCGGGGUUUCUUUUUUUUGCAGAAGAACAAAACUGGUAGCCCCCGAGGGGUAUGCGGCCCUGGAAUGAGGCCAGGGUCGGAUGCCCCUGAGCUUAAAUGAAAGAACGAAAAUGACGGCAAGUUUAUGCGGAACUUGGAAAUAAGAGCUAUGGGUAAAAGCGCCUUAGCUGUUCUAUGUUCCAGGCGUUGCUGAAGAUCUGCCCGUCGGGAGUUGCCAGCUUGUAGGUGCCUGGUCGUAGUACUUGUACGAUGAUGAAUGGGCCUUCCCAUGGCGGAGUCAACUUGUGCCGACCCCUGUUGUCUUGGACGAGGCGGAGCACUAAAUCACCAACGUUGAAGGCGCGGCCUUGUAUCUUGCGGCUGUGGUAACGCCGUAGGGCCUGCUGGUAUUUAGCCGAGUGUAGUAGGGCUACAUCUCGCGCCUCGUCGAGUUGAUCUUGUGCGUCCUCGAGUGAUGCCUGGUUUCCCUGUUCGUCGUAUGCCUUGACCCUCGGCGACCCGUACUCUAGGUCGGUGGGUAAAAUGGCCUCUGACCCAUAGAUCAUGAAGAAUGGGGUGAACCCUAUCGCCCGGCUGGGGGUCAUCCUCAAGCUCCAGAGGACUGCUGGAAGCUCCACAACCCACCGUCCGCCGAACUUUUUAAGGCGGUCGAAGAUCCAUGGCUUGAGACCCUGGAGUAUCAUGCCGUUGGCUCGCUCGACUUGCCCAUUCGUGCGGGGGUGCGCCACUGCCGCCCAAUCCACUCGAAUGUGGUGGUCGUUGCAGAACUGGAGAAAUCUCUUCCCGGUGAACUGCGUGCCGUUGUCGGUGAUGAUGGAAUUUGGGAUCCCGAAGCAGUGGAUGAUGUCGGUGAAGAACUGUACCGCCUGCUCGGACCUGAUUUGCGCCACUGGUCUCGCUUCGAUCCAUUUGGAGAACUUGUCGACAGCGACGAGCAGAUGGGUGAAGCCCACGGACACCCUUUUGAAGGGUCCGACGAGAUCCAGCCCCCAGACCGCAAAUGGCCAUGUGAUGGGGAUGGUUUGCAAUGCCUGCGCGGGCAGGUGAGUUUGGCGGGCAAAGAACUGGCAUCCUUCACAGGUGCGGACUACCUGGGUAGCAUCCGCGACCGCGGUUGGCCAGUAAAAACCUUGUCGGAAGGCGUUGCCAACAAGUGUCCUUGGCGCGGCGUGGUGACCACAAGCCCCGGCGUGGAUAUCCUGGAUCAGCGCCUUUCCCUGCUCGAUCGGGAUGCAGCGCUGGAGGAUCCCAGUGUGACUUCUCUUGUAGAGCUCCUGGUCGAUGAUGGUGAAGGAUUUUGCACGGCGCGCGAUCCUGCGGGCUUCUAUUUUGUCUGCCGGGAGCGUGCCGCGGACAAGGUAGUCGAGGUACGGGGCUCUCCAGUCGAUUGGGGGGUCGGCCCCCGCCGCGGGGUCUGCCGUGAUUUCCAUGACCACGGGGUCGGAUGGCUUGGCUUCCAGGGCCGAGUUGGGUAAGGCAGCGUUGAUUCCCUCGGGACUGGUGCUCGGGUCCGGGACAGGUGGUGCGUUGGCAACCUCCCCUGGCUUGGGUCCCGACCCCAGGGCUGGGAAUGCUUCGCCGACCCCUGCCGGCUCCAGAUAAUGAAUUGAAGGCUUCAACUGGUCGCUAACGAAAACGCCGUCGGGGACGGGCAUCCGGCCGGACGCCGCCUUCGCCAGCUCGUCAGCGGCUUCGUUGAAGCGCCUUGCGACGUGGUUGAGCUCCAACCCGUCGAACUUGUCCUCGAGCUUACGGACCUCAUUGCAGUAGGCUGCCAUUUUGGGGUCGUGGCAGCUCCACUCCUUCAUGACUUGUUCGACGACCAACUGAGAAUCGCCCCGGACGUCUAGCCGACGGAUACCCAGCUCGAUGGUGAUGCGGAGCCCGUUGAGUAGGGCUUCGUACUCGGCGACAUUAUUGGAUGCAGGGAAAUGGAGGCAGAUCAUGUACCUGAUGCGCACGCCCAAUGGAGAGACGAAGACGAGGCCUGCUCCGGCGCGGGCCCUCAUCAGUGACCCGUCGAAGUACAUCGUCCAGUACUCCUGCUCCUCUGGCGCCGACGGUGCUUGUACCUCCAUCCACUUGGCCACGAAGUUGGCAAGUACCUGGGACUUGAUGGCGGUGCGGGGGACGUAGGUGAUACCCUGGUCCAUAAGCUCAAGCGCCCACUUCGCGAUCCUUCCUGUAGCAUUUGGGUUCCGGAUUACUUCACCAAGCGGGAAUGAUGAAACGACCGUUACCGGGUGGGAGGUGAAGUAGUGACGCAGCUUCCUCUUCGUGAUAAGGAUGGCGUAGACGAGCUUCUGGAUCUGUGGAUAUCGUGUCUUGGACUCGGAAAAGACUUCGCUGAUGAAGUACACCGGGCGUUGUACCUUAAGAGCGUGCCCCUCCUCCUCCCACUCCACCACUAGGGCCGUGCUGACCACCUGGGUGGUCGCCGCGACGUAGAGCAGGAGGGACUCGCCAUCGGCCGUUAGGAGGUCCUUGAGUCGGUCAAGUGCCUCCUGGGCCUCACUGGUCCAUUCGAAGCGGUCAGAUGAAGGAGGUAGCGAGUUGGUCGGCCUCUUUCAUCGCGAUCUAGUGGUAGCCGGAAUAUGCGUUGAGGAAGCUGAGGGUCUCGCACCCGGCGGUCGAGUCGACUAUUUGAUCUAUGCGUGGCAAAGGAAACGGAUCCUUUGGACACGCUUUGUUGAGACUGGUAUAAUCGACACACAUCCUCCAUUUCCCGUUCUUUUUUGGUACAAGGACGGGAUUGACCAGCCAUUCGGGGUGGCGCACUUCCUUGAUGAACCCGGCCGCCAGGAGCUUCUGGAGUUCUUCACCAAUGGCCCUGCGCCUUUCCUCGUCGAAACGGCGCAAGCUUUGCUUCACUGGUUUGGAGCCAGCCCUGAUGUUCAAGGAAUGCUCGGCGACUUCUCUCGGGAUGCCAGGCAUGUCCGAGGGCUUCCACGCGAAGACGUCGCUGUUCGCGCGGAGGAAGUCGACGAGCGCGCUUUCCUAUUUGGGGGAUAGAGCCGCGUUGAUCCGCACAACCCCACCAUCGGAACAGCCGGGAUCGAGAGGGACUUCUUUGAUACCUUCGGUGGGCUCAAAGGAGGUAUUCGACUGCUUGGCGUCAGGUUGAUCUUCGGUCACCUCCGCAAGCUGGACUGCCAUGCCGCUCGUGACGGUGAUGGCCGCGGCGUACUCGCAACACUCUACGUCGCACUCAUAUGCCUUCUGGAAGGUCGUGCCGAUGGUGAUGACCCCGUUGGGUCCAGGCAGCUUGAGCUUGAGGUAGGUGUAGUUGGGGAUUGCCAUGAACUUCGCGUAGCACGGCCGUCCUAGGAUGGCGUGGUAGGUUCUGCGAAACCCUACCACCUCGAAGGUAAGGACCUCCUUCCUAUAGUUGGAAGGGGUCCCAAAUGUAACGGGCAGGUCGAUUUGCCCGAGGGGCGUCGCCUGCUUCCCUGGCACGACGCCAUGGAAGGGUGCCUUGCUGGGACGGAGGCGGGAGCGAUCGAUCCCCAUAGCGUCGAGAGUCUCGGCGUAGAAGAGGUUGAGGCCGCUGCCCCCAUCCAUGAGCACCUUGGUGAGGCGCGUCGUGCCGACGAUGGGGUCGACGACGAGAGGGUAACGCCCCGGAUGUCGGACGCGUCUAGGGUGGUCGGACCUAUCGAACAUGAUGGCCGGCCCGGACCAGUCGAGGAAGGCCGGAGUCGCAGGCUCGGCCGCGUAGACCUCCCGGCGCUCCAGCUUUUGCUGGCGCUUGGUGUCGUACGCUGCGGAGCCGCCGAAGAUCAUGAAGCAGCCGUCGACUUUAGGGAAGCCGUCUUCCUUCUCUUCGUCGCCCUUCUUUUCCUCAUCGGGCUUCCGCUUCCGGUCGCCUUUCACCGGAUUGCCCACGAAGUACCUCUUCAUGAGGUUACAGUCUUUGUAGGCGUGCUUGACGGGGAACUCGUGGUUCGGGCACGGUCCCUCGAGCAACUUGUCGAAGAAGCCGGGAGCGCCUACGGGGGGCGGCUGCCCCCGCUUGCGCUCGACCGCGGCCAUGAGGGGGGCCUCACGCCGCUGCUUGCCCUUCUUCUUCUGCUGGCGGUUGGAAGUGCCUUCGUCGGCGUCCUCCUCUCGUUUCACCUUGCCUUUGGAACGAUCGAAGAUCGCUCCGACAGCCUCUUCGCCAGAGGUGUAGCUAGUGGCAAUAUUGAGGAGCUCUUCUGUGGUUCGCGGGCCUUGGCGCCCCAGCUCGUGGACGAGGGGCUGGCAAGAGGUCCCUACUAGGAAAGCUCCUAUGACGUCGGCGUCCGCGACGUUGGAGAGCUCGGUGCGCUUUCUGGAGAAGCGCUGGAUGUAAUCCCGGAGGGACUCGUCCGCCCCCUGACGACAGCUCUGAAGAUCCCAGGAGUUGCCGGGGCGCAUGUACGUCCCUUGGAAGUUUCCUAUGAAAACCUCUUUCAGGUCGUUCUAGUUGCGAACGCGUCCCGAAGGGAUAUGUUCCAGCCAAGCUCGCGUGGAGUCUGCCGGGAAAAGGGGUAGGUUGCGGAUGAUAAACAGGUCAUCAUCCGCCCCGCCGGCUUGACAUGCAAGCUGGUAAUCGCUGAGCCAUACUCCAGGAUUUGUCUCCCCUGAGUAUUUGGCUACACUCGUGGGUUGCCUGAAGCGCGGCGGAAAGGGCGCACUUAGGAUGCGCGCAGAGAAGGCCCGAGGCCCAGCCAUUCCUGGGCUCGGGCUGCGGUCUUCCCCGCUGUCGUAGCGCCCGCCACGAUGGAUGUGGUAGCCUCGAUCUGCCCCGUCCUCCCUGUCCGCACGGGAGCGUCUCCACGCGUUCAGGGUGUCGCGUGCGUCGCGGGCGAGACCGACACGCUGGUGGACGGAUCGAGCCUCGCCUCCCGCGGGUGGCGGGGUCCGUCGGGCGGACGCGGUCUGAUUUGGCCCCAGAGGGGGUUGCUGGACAGAUUCCCCCCGCCGUUCUGGGGGCGCGUUAGGUGUGGCCUGGCUGGCGUUCUGCUCGCGUCGCCGGGACGCCGAACUUUCCGCCUGCUGGACGGCAGAGCACUCGAGCAGGUUGCGCAUCUCUUGGCAUGCCCGUCGCUCCUCGGGCGUCGCUGGUUCGGGUAGCUGUCGGAGCAACACCGCCGCGGCUGCGACGUUUUGGCUAGCGCGGGCAAAGAGCGGCAGACGCUCUCCGUCCGCGCAGAUGCGUUGCUGGACAUCGCGUGCCCGUUGUCGCGCUCCCCCUUCGUGGUGGGGGUGCUCUACUUCUUGGCGGGCACCCACGUAUGCUUCUGGUUGCCGAGAGCCCUCCGGGGCCCUUGGUAAGGCUCCAGUUGUAGCUGCGGCGCGCGAGGGGGGAACCCGUUGUCUCCCUCGGCACCAUCGCCGUUGGACCCCUCGGAGUGCGCGUCGACCACAAGGCACUCGCGCGAGGGGUGGGGACUCCCGCUGCUGGAGCCAGCGUCAGAGAUUGUCCUCGUCGCGCCUACGAGCUUGUCGCUCGCGGGCGACGCGGUCAUGGGCCGCGCUAAGAGGCGUCCGUAAGCCCCCGUGGCGUUACGUAGCCCAAAGGGCUGUCCUCUCGGUGAGGUCCUUCGAGUGGGCGAGCGACCGCUCGCCGCCGUCCCGGAGGCAGGGCCGGGGGCAGCUGGGUGAACCGGUAGGACGAGGACAGGGAUCAGCUCGAUCCCUUCCCCGGUGGUGAGGAAGUCUAGGCUCCCGAAUUGGAUCAGGGAGCCCGGAGCAAAGCUACCGUUGUAAUUGGCCAUCUGAGGCUGGGAAUGUACGCUCAAAGGUCCCCUACCUGGCACGCCAACUAUCGUUGUCAAGAUCGGCGGAUCAAGACUUAGACUAGUAAAUUUCUUUUAUGCGCGUAAAGCCUCAGGUGGUUGCGUGGGAGACACGGGUUUAGACUGUUUCGGGCAAGGGAAGCCCUACGUCCAGUAUCGGAGGUGUUCGCGUUGCCCACGUGGGGUUCUGUAGUAGGGGGUUACAGAUCGACGAGAGAGGGACUGGUCCCAAGUCUCUUUAGUGUUUUUGCUUCUCAGGAAGAGUCAUUGUGUGCUAUGGCUUGCGGGAGAAGAAGCCGAUCCCCCCUCCGGCCCUGGGUUCCGCCUUUUAUAUCGCAAGGGAGGUGGCCGGAGUUACAGUUGGGAUCGGGUAGAGAGGACUGUAAAGAGUAAAGCGUAGAAUGGUAAAAAAUACGGCAGGAAGGAGGAGCAAGAUCCUAGGCGUCCGACGCCUCUGCUGGCCCUGGGCGAACGCCGGCGCGCAUGCCAGAGGGGGAGGCCGCCGUAUGCCAAGUGUUGUUGCACCCUACAGGUAGCUCCUUCGAUACCCGUAGGCAUCGGGUCAUGAUGAGGGCGUUCCGUCGUUAUCCUGGUGUCUGUAGGGGAGGACGGUGGAUGCUGUUGUUCAGAUGAUGGCUCCUGGAGAGAGGGUGUCACAUCCUUGCAGUGCGGGACCCGAGGGCACGCGGGGCCCGAGGACAGGCCGGUCUCUCCUUCGCUCCGGCCGGCGCAGGCCAUGAGUACCCUGCGGCGAAUGGGAGUCAGCCGCAGGCACUGUAGCUUGUACUGUGUGGUUGUGCACGGGUACUUGUGACGGGUUGCGUGAGGAGCGCGGUCGUCCUUCCCUCCGCCAGGCCUGCGGCGCAUUUAUGGCGAGGCCGACGGGGGUCCCACAGGAUCUUGUCUGUCUCACCCAUCUGGACCGUAUCUGAGGGGGAUGCCUGCUCCGGGGGCCCCAGCGCGCCCGACCCCUUUGCUUGGGGUCGGACGAGGCGGAACUUCGUGACGGGGGGUCGGGCGCCCCCGACCCCGGGGCCGCAGUCGGGCGAGGUGGAAACUUUGGAGAGGGGGGUCGGCCGUUCCCGAUCCCCGCGCCGUGGUCGGGCGGGGUGGAGCUUUGAUCAUGUCUAGGUGGGCCCGGGCCUUUGUAUCUGUUUCCUUAAGUGGCAUAUUUAGGGGAUCGUUAAUAUUUCCCCCCAACAGAUGGGGAUAAAAUUAUGAUCUGACCCUUAAACUUAAGGACUAAUCGUGCCGGGGUCCUCAGACU
rnacentral:lncRNA from 1 species